rnacentral:rRNA from 1 species
GAUGAACGCUGGCGGCGUGCUUAACACAUGCAAGUCGAGCGAAGCGAUGAAGAGGAAGUUUUCGGAUGGAAUCUUCAUUGACUGAGCGGCGGACGGGUGAGUAACGCGUGGGUAACCUGCCUCAUACAGGGGGAUAACAGUUAGAAAUGACUGCUAAUACCGCAUAAGACCACAGCACCGCCUGGUGCAGGGGUAAAAACUCCGGUGGUAUGAGAUGGACCCGCGUCUGAUUAGCUGGUUGGUGAGGUAACGGCCCACCAAGGCGACGAUCAGUAGCCGACCUGAGAGGGUGACCGGCCACAUUGGGACUGAGACACGGCCCAAACUCCUACGGGAGGCAGCAGUGGGGAAUAUUGCACAAUGGGCGAAAGCCUGAUGCAGCAACGCCGCGUGAGUGAAGAAGUAUUUCGGUAUGUAAAGCUCUAUCAGCAGGGAAGAAGAUGACGGUACCUGACUAAGAAGCCCCGGCUAACUACGUGCCAGCCGCCGCCGUAACAC